GAGUUUGAUCCUGGCUCAGAGCGAACGCUGGCGGCAUGCUUAACACAUGCAAGUCGCACGGGCAGGGCAACCUGUCAGUGGCGGACGGGUGAGUAACGCGUAGGUAUCUAUCCUUGGGUGGGGGGCAACCGUGGGAAACUACGGCUAAUACCGCAUGACAACUGAGGUUUAAAGGCGCAAGUCGCCUGAGGAGGAGCCUGCGUACGAUUAGCUAGUUGGUGGGGUAAAGGCCUACCAAGGCUGCGAUCGUUAGCUGGUCUGAGAGGAUGAUCAGCCACAUUGGGACUGAGACACGGCCCAAACUCCUACGGGAGGCAGCAGUGGGGAAUAUUGGACAAUGGGCGAAAGCCUGAUCCAGCAAUGCCGCGUGUGUGAAGAAGGUCUUCGGAUUGUAAAGCACUUUCGACGGGGACGAUGAUGACGGUACCCGUAGAAGAAGCCCCGGCUAACUUCGUGCCAGCAGCCGCGGUAAUACGAAGGGGGCUAGCGUUGCUCGGAAUGACUGGGCGUAAAGGGCGCGUAGGCGGAUGACACAGUCAGAUGUAAAAUUCCCGGGCUUAACCUGGGGGCUGCAUUUGAUACGUGUUGUCUAGAGUGAGGAAGAGGGUUGUGGAAUUCCCAGUGUAGAGGUGAAAUUCGUAGAUAUUGGGAAGAACACCGGUGGCGAAGGCGGCAACCUGGUCCUUGACUGACGCUGAGGCGCGAAAGCGUGGGGAGCAAACAGGAUUAGAUACCCUGGUAGUCCACGCUGUAAACGAUGUGUGCUGGAUGUUGGGCGACCUAGUCGCUCAGCGUCGUAGCUAACGCGAUAAGCACACCGCCUGGGGAGUACGGCCGCAAGACUGAAACUCAAAGAAAUUGACGGGGACCCGCACAAGCGGUGGAGCAUGUGGUUUAAUUCGAGGCUACGCGAAGAACCUUACCCAGGCUUGACAUGGUUAAGACAGCGCAUGAAAGUGCGUCUCUCCGCAAGGAGCUUUUCCACAGGUGCUGCAUGGCUGUCGUCAGCUCGUGCUGUGAAGUGUUGGGUUAAGUCCCGCAACGAGCGCAACCUUUGUCUUUAGUUGCCAUCACGUUAUGGUGGGCACUCUAGAGAGACUGCCGGUGAUAAACUGGAGGAAGGAGGAGACGACGUCAAGUCAGUAUGGCCCUUAUGCCUGGGGCUACACACGUGCUACAAUGGCCGUUACAAAGGGCUGCAAAACCGUGAGGUGGAGCAAAUCCCAAAAAGACGGCCUCAAUUCAGAUUGGAGGCUGCAACUCGCCUCCAUGAAGUCGGAAUCGCUAGUAACGGUAGAUCAGCAUCGCUACCGUGAAUACGUUCCUGGGCCUUGCACACAC
rnacentral:rRNA from 1 species